UCUGCCUCCAUGUCCGUCCCCCCCCGCCCGCUUUCCCUUUUUAUUGCUUUCCAUUUUGGACUUUCUGUUAUCAACAUCAUAAAUGCAGCCAUUCUGCCCGAAUCCCUGCUGUUAAUUUUGGAUGCUAUCAGUUGUUUUAUUUAGGAUAUUUAUCAUUGUUCUGCUUGUAAGCAGAGAAUUUAAUUUUCUCCACUUUUUAUAUUUGCAGAUUUAAAAAAAUGUACUUUUCAACAAUGACACGUGCCGCCCAAACGGUCUCUCUAUCUCGAUUUCAAUAUUGUUGCUCAACUUAAUUUUAGUUCACUGGAAAAUACGCUGAAUUGCGCGUAUGGUUAUUAUGCGAGCCUCUAAUUCGAUAUGGCAGCUGGUUUGGAAGGAGGCCAACGAGGUCGCCUGAUGGGGAAAGCGGAGGGGCGCUGCAGGCCGCCUCAGGCCACAGUAUCGAGCAUCAAGUGCAGGAGCAACAAGCAGGGAGCAGGAGACGUCAGGCCCAGAGCGACGGGGGAAGCGUUGCAGCCUGGUCAGCCACCGUCCACCCUCUCUCCUACACCCAGAUGCCUUGAUGUUUGCAGAACGUCAGAGGAUUGUGGGACAUGGUCCAUGAUGGUGUGGUUAGCCGUCUCUUGGCAGUCAUUAGGCUGAUGGUUGCUUGUGUGGCCAUUUGCUAGCCGCUGACGAGGUAACAGGGACACACUGGUAUUAUCUCCUUGGUUUCUUCAUGAUGACCUCACACACACUGUUAAACAGAUCAAAGUCAAACUCCUCCCUCAGCUUCAUGUCACCUGAUCUAAACACCAUUACGUUUUUAUUACCAGUUAGUUCUGGAGGACAGUAUGAAGUAGAUUGUUCUGAAUUCGAAGUGCGACCCUAUCUCAUGAAGUGUUCAUGCCAUAUCCUCUGCCAGACUUCACACAGACACAGAAAUACCUGCUUUAACUUUUUUGUUUCUGGUAGGUUUUACAUUCCAUUUAUAAAAAUGUUUUUGUUUUUCUUCUUAACCAUCACAGAGAACAAAAUGAUAUCAAUAUGUAAUAUAAAGGUUUAAAAAGCAUCUGAUUGACGAAACAUGAUUAUCAAAAUAAGCAGAAAAUAAUAACAAUAAUCUGAUUCUUUUCAUGAUGUUUAGAUGUGUAAUUAUCUGCUGCCUGGGCAAUAUAAUUGCGUUGAGCAGCAGGUCCAGGUGAAGACCAGAUGCAGUGUAAUUCACAAUAAUUUUGUGAAAUUUUCAGCAGUAUCUCUGGCCCUAUAAUCAACAAAUUGCCAAGUUAUUUAUCUUAUACGCUUUUUUUUUUUUGCUCGAUUGAAGAAAUUCUCAUUUCAAACGACAGCAUAUUUCUCCUGUGCCUUCUCUGUACACAAUAACUAAUGUGCGAUUCCCAGCAUUCCCGGCGGUCGUGGGCAUCUCACUGGAAGUUGGGCAUUCAAAUUUUGUUGUAUCUACAAUGACAAUAGAGAUAUAUUCUAUUCUAUUCUAAAAUGUAACCACUUAAAAGAAAGAAUAGUAAUGGGAAAUGCAAACAAGCAAGCAAAAGGAGAUAUUGUUCAUGUUGUGUGCUUUAUGCAUUAAUAUUAUUUGCUACUACUAAUUGUACAUAAUAGAAUAAUAAUAAUAAUAAUACAUUUAAUUUAUGAAGUACUUUGCACUAGAACAAAAUCUCAAAGUACUGAUAUAGUUAAAAUAAGAUAAUCAAAUGUUUAUGUUUGGACAGUUACAGGUAAGUAAAAAUCCCUAAAAACUGUUAAAAAAAACUUGCCAAGUUACCACAUACUACCGGCGGAAGAAAAAGAUUAAGUUAGAAUUGACUCCAUGAUGGUGGUCUUGCUACGCGAAGGCCUGACUUGCUGGCGGGGACCACAACAAGGCGGGGCCACAUUUUCCCUUUAUUGACUUUUGCAGGUGUUUGUCUUCAAUGGACCCUGUUCUUACAUAGUGUGGCAAACAAAUCAAUACCCUGCAGCGGGUCCAAAGAGUGGAUGUGACAGGCCUGAUCCUCGUCACGCCGCGGCCCGCCAGAUCACCGGACGGUGAUUUAUACUCCUGCUUCGCUGUUCUACAUGCCCCCGCUUGGGAAAGUCUAGGUUCAUCCGUCUGACCCGCUGAGCGGGUAUUGAUCAGCACUUAUUUAAUGAGUUAGUGAGAUAAUCUGCCAAAUAAAUAUUAGGCACCACUGUAGUCGUAAAUGGGGGGGAUUUUUUGUCGGAAAAAGGUGUCCCUUUAUUUGGCGUGUGAGCAUAGCCUUUAAAUGUCUCUGAAAUAAGGAGUUGGCAGCCCCA